rnacentral:rRNA from 1 species
GACGAACGCUGGCGGCGUGCUUAACACAUGCAAGUCGAACGGAAAGGCCCUGCUUUCGUGGGGUGCCCGAGUGGCGAACGGGUGAGUAACACGGGAGUAACCUGCCCUGUACUUUGGGAUAACUUCAGGAAGCUGGGGCUAAUACCGGAUAGGAGCUCCUGCUGCAUGGUGGGGGUUGGAAAGUUUCGGCGGUUGGGGAUGGACUCGCGGGUUAUCAGCUUGUGGGUGGGGUAGUGGCUUACCAAGGCUUUGAAGGGUAGCCGGCCUGAGAGGGGGAACGGCCACAUUGGGACUGAGAUACGGCCCAGACUCCUACGGGAGGCAGCAGUGGGGAAUAUUGCACAAUGGGCGGAAGCCUGAUGCAGCAACGCCGCGUGCGGGAUGACGGCCUUCGGGUUGUAAACCGCUUUAGCCUGUGACGAAGCGUGAGUGACGGUAAUGGGUAAAGAAGCACCGGCUAACUACGUG